rnacentral:misc_RNA from 1 species
AUUUUGAUAAAGUAACGCCACCUACAUUUAUGAUCGAAGUGAUUAUUUCGCCAAAAUUAAAUAAAAUUCCAAAAAGAAACCUUCUAAAUAAUAUAUUAGAAACUAAGAUUAGUUCAAGACAAAUAAUAAAAUAAUCUGCACUCGAUCAUACUGGUCAAGCAGCAAGAAAUCUUACGCUUUUGGAUUAUUAUAUAGAAAACCAUUUCAGGUGGGGAUUAUGAUUUUAUCAAAAAUAAAAACACUAAUAUUUAUUGAUGUUAAAUGAAGGUAAUUCCAAGUUCGAAGGUUUUUGUGGAGUAACGGUGUCGGAAAGAUUCACAGAACAGUAAAUAGAAUAAGAUGAACGUCAAAGGUGAUAAACAAAAGGUAAAGAAAGGAGGUGGAUAUGCCUUUUUUUACAGAACAUGCACAGAGGAUUAUAAAAAGAAGAACCCUCACGAAUCUGUUGUGUUUGCUGAAUUUUCCAAGAAAUGUACUGAGAAAUGGAAGGGCAUAAGUCAACAACAGAAGUAUCUAUUUGACGAGAUGGCCCAAAAAAAUCAUAGGACUGAUAGAGAGGAAUCACCAACUAAGAUGGAUGACGCUGGAAAGGGAAAGCGAAAGAAAAAAGCUAAAGAUCCGAAUGCCCCUAAGCGUUACAUGUCAGCAUUUUUGUGUUUUUGUGCCGAGAAGAAGGAUUCCAUACGUAGCCAAUUUCCUAACAUAACCCCAAUGGAGAUAGCAAAAGAGCUUUCAGUUAAAUGGGAGGCCUGUGAUGACUUGUCACACUAUGAAGAAAUGUCUAGAAAGGAUAAAGAACGUUACGAAAAGGAGAUGGCUGCCUAUAAACUAGGACAGAGUACUGAGGCUGAAGGGCAACCAAGGAAAAAAUUAAAGAUCGACCCUCUAGAUUCUCUUCUUAGUAGUAAUUGAUAAAAAAAUUCAAAGAAUAAAAUUAUCUUUCUAGCACUGGGCUUUUAUCUUUUUUCUCAAGAGAAACAGGAAGAAUAAAGAACUAAAGAUUAAAGAAAAAAAAAUCUAAAUGCUAUUAAAGAACUUGUUACAAUGCCAUGUGUUAACGAAGAAUUUUACCCAAAGAAGGAUUUGUCCGAUAAAAGAAUUGAUAGAAAAAAUGGUUUUCUUUGAUUUUUGAACUUGUGGCCUUAAACGUUUAACCUUUUUUUAUUGAGUUGUCAUACGAAGAUUUAUAUACAAUUUAUAAAUUGAUGAUUUUUUAGUUAUUUUCUUACUACUAGAUAACUUAGACUAAGGGAAAGAAUAUUUUAUAAAGCUAUCGCCAUCUAUAGGCAAGAAUAAUGCAUGCAAUACUGCUAGUGUACACCAGCAGAAUGGCCUGGUAAAUGCUGCAUAUAACUAGAAAGAUCUGCGCUGUUUUCGGGGAUUGUCCGAUGGCGUAAUGAAAAAUCAGCCAAUACGAAAUAGAUGAGUUAAACCAGUUCGCCUGAGGACGUCCCCUUUUACAAUACAAUUUUUAAAAAACUGAAUUACGUAUACUUUUUUUUAUUACAUAACCAUAUAUUUAAAUGUAAAAAUGUCUUAUUAUACAUUAAUAGAAGAAAUAUUCUUCUCUUCUCCAACUAGAGACAUCUAGUUGUAGGUCAAAUAGUCCAGUAUUGGAUCUUAAACGAAGCACUAAAUUGGUUCUAUGGCAAGGAAAGAAAAAUUAG